CCUACGGGAGGCAGCAGUGAGGAAUAUUGGUCAAUGGGCGAGAGCCUGAACCAGCCAAGUCGCGUGAGGGAAGACGGUCCUAUGGAUUGUAAACCUCUUUUGUCGGGGAGCAAAAAGGCCUCGUGAGGCCACAAGUGAGAGUACCCGAAGAAAAAGCAUCGGCUAACUCCGUGCCAGCAGCCGCGGUAAUACGGAGGAUGCGAGCGUUAUCCGGAUUGAUUGGGUUUAAAGGGUGCGCAGGCGGAGGUGCAAGUCAGCGGUAAAAUUGCGGGGCUCAACCCCGUACUGCCGUUGAAACUGCAUCCCUUGAGUGCGCGAGAAGUAUGCGGAAUGCGUGGUGUAGCGGUGAAAUGCAUAGAUAUCACGCAGAACUCCGAUUGCGAAGGCAGCAUACCGGCGCGCAACUGACGCUCAUGCACGAAAGCGUGGGUAUCGAACAGGAUUAGAUACCCGAGUAGUC
rnacentral:rRNA from 1 species